AUUGAACGCUGGCGGCGUGCUUAACACAUGCAAGUCGAGCGGUAACAGGCGUAGCAAUACGUGCUGACGAGCGGCGAACGGGUGAGUAAUGCUUCGGAAUCUUCCUCGUAGUGGGGAAUAACCUGGGGAAACUCAGGCUAAUACCGCAUACGAACUACGGUUGAAAGCAGGGGAUCGCAAGACCUUGCGCUAUGAGAUGAGCCGAAGUCGGAUUAGCUAGUUGGUGAGGUAAAGGCUCACCAAGGCGACGAUCCGUAGCUGGUCUGAGAGGACGACCAGACAAACUGGGACUGAGACACGGCCCAGACUCCUACGGGAGGCAGCAGUGGGGAAUAUUGGACAAUGGGGGCAACCCUGAUCCAGCGACGCCGCGUGUGUGAAGAAGGCCUGCGGGUUGUAAAGCACUUUUAGUGGGGAUGAAAAGCCGAAGGCUAAUACCUUUCGGUCUUGACCUAACCCAAAGAAAAAGCACCGGCUAACUCUGUGCCAGCCGCCGCAGUAACAC
rnacentral:rRNA from 1 species